GAUGAACGCUGGCGGCGUGCCUAAUACAUGCAAGUCGAGCGAAGCGGGGACGGGUGAGUAACACGUGGAUAACCUCCUAUAAGACUGGGAUAACUUCGUGAAACCGUAGCUAAACCGGCUACUUAUAGAUGGAUCCGGUCUGCAUUAGCUAGUUGGUAAGGUAACGGCUUACAAAGGCAACGAUGCAUAGCCGACCUGAGAGGGUGAUCGGCCACACUGGAACUGAGACACGGCCCAGACUCCUACGGGAGGCAGCAGUAGGGAAUCUUGCGCAAUGGGCGAAAGCCUGAGAGAGCAACGCCGCGUGAGUGAUGAAGGUCUUCGGAUCGUAAAGCUCUGUUAGUAGGGAAGCGGUACCUAAUCAGAAAGCCACGGCUAACUACGUGCCAGCCGCCGCGGUAAUUC
rnacentral:rRNA from 1 species